ensembl:snRNA U6 U6 spliceosomal RNA
GUGCUCGCUUUGGCAGCACAUAUACUAAAAUUGGAACGAUACAGAGAAGAUGAGCAUGGUCCCUGUGCAAGGAUGACACGCACAUUCGUGAAGCGUUCCACAUUUUU